UCCUCUCCCCUUUUUCCUUCAUCUGAACACAACCUUACAAGACACAUGGGCUUUUCCUUGCACUAAGAGAUUCUAAUUCCUUAGUGCAGACUGCAGACUCCAGAGUGCCCAUAUCGUCAUAGAUAGUCAUCACUCAGCACUGCUUUACCAUGACUUCUUUUGUCUUCUGUUUCUUCAUCUCUGCAUUACCAUCUUUGUACAGUCAAACAUCAUUAUGUCAACAACGAUACUGAGUAAAAGUUUGUCAGUCUUUGCUUAAUAGAAGGUUUUUGCCCCUUCCAUGUCCGAUUCCUGAGCUGAUCUCUGAAUAAACCCGCGGUGUCUUGAAGAUUUUCCCGGAGAAUGUUAAGAGUCUGAUGCCCACUUGGACUGCGUUUUCGCUCUAAUGAAAAAGCCUGAGCUGAGUUGAUCCAAGGCUCUUUUGGUAUUGACAUUUUUGUUGAAGACUAGUGAAAACAUGUAGUUCUUGGGAUCAAUGUUGCAGAAAUAUCAGAUCAGGUGUACAAAAUUGGAAGGCUGAGAGUCUUAGACAGGAAAAUAUCAGAUGAGAUGUACAAAGUUGGUAGUAUAGAUAACAGAAAUGUUAUCCCAUCAUGAUCCAACAGAUGAGUUGUCAGAGCACAUUCAGGAACAAUGUUCUUAUACAAGCCAUGAGCCUACCAAUACAGAUGAGUUGAUCCAAGGUUCUUCUAAGCGUUCGAGACAGCUCACGUCAUUGAUUUGGAAGGAAUUUGAAAUAUUGUGUGUUGAACCAGAUGGUUCACAAAGAGCACAAUGUAAAUGCUGCAAGCGUGAUUAUGCAUGCGGUGGAACAACCGGAACAAGCAACUUAUGGCGUUAUCUUUCAAAUUGUACUAAGCGUGGACAAUCUGAUUUUGAAGAACGGUCUCCAAUUGACUAAGGAAUUUAUCGGGAAAAGAUGGGAAUUGCUAUUGUGAAGCAUAACCAUCCUUAUAGACUGGUGGAGCAAGAAGGAAUUCGAGACUUGUGUGUAUACUUAAAUUCAGCUGCUUUACCCAUUUCGAGAAACACGAUAAAGGCUGAUAUUGAAAAGAUGUACAAAAGAGAAAAAGAGAAAGUAAAGACAGAAUUAAAUUCAAUUUAAAGUCGAAUUUUCUUUGAUGGCACGGGAUAUUUUAAGUAUUUCUAUCACUACAGUGGCCUCGGAAUCAGCUUUCAGUAUUGGUGGUAGAAUUGUGGGUAAAUAUCGUACUUCGCUCCUACCAGAAAAUGUGGAGGUCUUGUUAUGUGCUAGGGACUGGUUAUAUGGAGUAACAGCUUCUGAAGAUGAAGAAGAUAAAGAAAGACUGAGUAUUGACUUUGCACCUUUAGUUGCUAAACUUACUAACCUUCAUGUUUAGGAAUCUUCUCUGUUUUGUGUUGAGCCAGCAGCAAACUUUUAGGUUGCUAUCUUUGUACUGUCAAGUGGAUUUUGUACUGUCACUGGCACUCCUUCAAGCUGCUUACUAUAGGCGUUUGAAAUGGUCGGUUUUGAAGUCACGCAAGCUGGUCCUCGAUGUUGUCAACUAAACUUGGUUUAUUCUUCUCCUUGAUGUUUAUCAGAGGAUUCAAAUCAGGGAAUAAUAUUUGUUUCUUGCUACAAUAUGUGUCUCUCUGCUGUGUUAAGUUUGUUCAACCUGCUUGGUGGUAAUUUGUGCUAGCAGAGCAACCUGCAGUUAUUAUGCAAAAUUGACACUGAAAUUUUUGUAAUGUAAGGGUACCUUUUUCUUCAUUCACGUUCUUUUUCUUCAUUCACCAGUGAGCUAGAGGAGUUUUAUCAUUUAUGCUAUGCAGUUGUACGAAGCUUGAGAAGCUGAAUGCUUGUUAUUCGUAUUUAUUGAAAAUUUGUCUUUAUUUGUAUGCUAAAUGAAGUGAUUGCUAGUCUUCAUCAG